AGCAGCUUGACUCAGCAGGAGCAGGGUGAGGAACUCCGAGUCCUCAUCAAAAGGAGUCAGUGAAGGAGAUUUCUGGACUUCAUCCAUUUCAGGAGAGGUUCUACCUCACAGCCGGUCUGGGAACGCCUCGUAGUCCCUGUGGAGGUGCUGGAGGAGGACUCAAGGAGAGGAAAGGAGGUCUGCAGAUGAAGGAAUGAACAUUACAGCGUUUUUAAACGGCUGCUGUCUGAAUUUUGACCACUAGAGGGUGGUGACAGCACUGUGACGACUUCAACAUGGCUCGCUCUGCUACGUCCAUCCCUGGAGCAGACAGCAGAGGACCGUUCGUCUCCAUCAGCACAGCAGACGGGAUCGUUAGAGGCUGGCAGAAUGAGAGGCGGCGCUCCGACUGGAUUCAGUCCUCCAUCCUCUUCAUCUCAGAGUCUGAUGGACAAACGCUCUGCUGGGAGGAGAUGUAACCGUCUCUAAACAAACAGUCGGGACAACAAACAACCAGAAUAAACACAAAUGCAGUCACGACGGGAGGUGGGGGAGAGGAUGAGCUAACCCAGUGGGAAGAAAUCUGACUGGAAUUUUCCUCCCAGUGGGAUUUUAUCCGAAUGUGAUGAUGCUCACAUUGUUCUGAGGCUUUUGGAGGAUGAUUUUGAUCGGGGGAACUCCAUGCCCCGAACCCCGAACCGUCCUGACUUCGUCCCAGAGCCAAAAGAAAAUGCUUCCGUUCGUCACUGGAGGAGGACACGGAGUUUGAUCUUCCCAGAUCCACCUGCUGAUCCUGAAAAUCAGUUUCAAGGCGAUUCUUUCGAGAUUUAGUCAAAUCAAAGACUUCACGAUUCACUCUUCAAACUACACACGUGCCUCCCACCCGCCCCCCCCACCUUCGGCCGUCCGACCAAUCAUGGGCAAGCCUCUCAGCCGCCCCGGGUGUUUCAGGAAGAGCUCAUGCUGCCUGGAGAAGCAUGGUGUUGGGGAUGGGGGGAUGGGAGGGCGUGAUCUUGUGAUGGAGGGGGGUUACGGAGACGGCUACGUACCCCAGAGGUCCAUUUAUGACACCAUGUGCAUCAACCAGCAGAUCGACAGCCACCACCACCUCCACCACCACCACUCUGGAGGAUCGGUGAGGAGAGAUGGAGGAGGCGACGGGAGCUUCAGCUACUCCACCAGUGGCUCCCUCAGGGUCAGCAGGUCAGACAUGUUUGACCCGCAGCCUCGAUCCUUGACUCCAAACCCGUCGUUCGUGCGGCGGCUGGAUGAGAGAGCCAUCUUUGACUCGCUCAAACUCGGAGGGGAGGAUGCAGACGGCUGCCAUUCACCAGGGCAUUUCAACCGAUCCGUGUCUCCGUCUGUGUCCUCCUUCUCAGCACCGGGAGUGUCCUCCUCCUCAUCUAAGAAGCACUACCAUCACCACCACCAUCACCAUGGCGACAGCACAAAGAGCAGAGACGGCCGGCAUUCCUGGAAAGCCUUGCCAUCUCCAAAACCGCUGGAGUGUCUGGAGCUGACCUCAGCUGAGAUGAUGGACCGAGGAGGCGGGGGCUACCUGAACCCAGGACACUACCCCGCUGGGGGCCAGUCCUCCUCUCUCACCUCCCCCCUCAUCUCACCCUUCUCCGGGUCACCCCUUUCCUCUGGGUACCAUACUCCAGUGUUCUUCUCCCCGACCAAACCCCGUCCCAGUCAGAGCCAGAGUUUACGCUGCUCCCCACCUCAUGUGAUCCAGCCCCGGCAUUACUCCCAAACCCAGAGCCUGAGGAUGUCUCCCCCCCACGAGCUCAGGCGGUCCCCCUACAGGGCCCCUCUGGUCCAACUGUCUGCUCACGACCUGGAGCAGGAUCUGAGAGAGCGAGGAGGAGGCGGGGGUGGAGGGUNNNNNNNNNNUGGAGGGUGGGGCCACAACGAGCGGGACCGGGACUGGGAGAGGGAGCGGGAACGGGAGCUGGAGCGAGGCUGGGCCCAGCGGGAGUGGGAGAGGGAGCGGGAGAGGGGGAGGCUGGAGAGGGAGCGAGCCAGAGAGAGAGAGAGGAGAGAGACAUCCUCCUUUGGGACCUUCGGCUAUGGCCGACCCGUUCCUCUGCGUUCAGACAGGGAUUCUGUGUUUUUGGAAUCGGACCAGGGACUGGACACAACACCCCUCCUCCUCCCCCAACCCUCCCCCUCCCCCAGCGGCGCCCCCAGAAUGGGCACAGGAGCAGUGGGCAGGAACCGGGCGGGGUCAAAGGUGGGUCCUGAAGGUGGAGUCAUGGUCUCUAAAUAUGAUGGAGGGAGCGUUAGCCUGGUGCUGGUGGACAGUAAGUCCGGGAGCAGUCCGAGGUUGGUGAGCGAAGUCGUCACCGGGAACAUGUCGGAGGCAGAAAUGAGAGCUGCCUUUCAGGAGAGAGCAGAAGUUUGGAGCAGGUCCGACAACGGGUCCAGGUCCAGUAAGAAGAACAUGUCUGAGAAGAGGAUGGGCUCUCAGGUGAAAACUCGGCCUGGAGGUCGGGAUCUGGAAGGAAAAGUCCAGUCUGGGUUGGAAAACAAGGAGGGACCCCGAGGAGAAACAAGGAGUGGAGAAAACCACGGAGGUUUUAUAGCAGAACGCAUCCCAGAAUCCUUCAACAGGACCGAACCGGAGAAGCGGGUCGGGUCUGUAGAUCAAGUUCUGGCUGAAGCUGCUGCUGGUCCUGAGAAGAAGGUGGAGCAGGAAGCUGGAGUUGAAGCUAACUCUCGCCAGCUGGAGACUGGAACAGACGUGGAGGUUAAGCAUCAUGCUGGUCCAACAGCUGAGCCCCAGUUAGAAGCAGAUGUCUGGAUUGCUGCUCCACCUGAGGUCCCACCAGAACCCCAGGUCUGUGGGGAGCUCGGACAGCAGAGUCAGGUGGAGGUCACGGUUGCUCCUGAAACUCAAACUCCUGAUGAAGCUCAGAUAGGACCUGGUGUAGGAGACAACCCUGAAGCUGUUCCUUCAGCUCAAACAGAGCACAAACCACAAGAUAAAGCUGAAACCCCCAAACCCGCUAAAGGUUCCAGAUCCAAGUCCAAGUCGUCCAAGUCCUGCUCCAGGUCCCGGCCUGGAACAGCGACGGGGAUGCGGCCCGGCGCUCUCAGCCCUCGACAGACCAAAGGCCUCGGAGACCUGGAGUCCUCCGGUCCACCUGAAAGCAUCGAGUCCACUUGGCCUCGAAGGAUCAUGGUGAGGAAGAGGACAGUCCGUCAGGGCGGGGCCCUCCAUAACCUCCCUAUUCUCCCCCCUCUCCCGUCGGUCCUCUCGGCGCUGGAGAAGCGGCGACCGCACCAACGCCCUGGCUCAGAGAACCCGUUGUCCAACAUAACUAACUCCAUGGUGGGUCGAUGCUCUCUGAAGGAACCGUCCCACACAGAACCGGGUCAGGGGGGUGGUCUGGUGGGCCGGGCUUCCCUGAGGGAGCAGAACCUGGAGCACUGGAGGGUCUGCAGAGAGCAGGAAGAAACAAAUCGAUCCAGAGGCAGAGAAAAACAAGAAGAGAUGAGCAAGAAGCAGGAGGAGAGGAAGGAGAUGCAGGAGGUGGUGGUGGUGGAGGACAUGAAACAAGAUGAAGCAGAGAGGCGGCUUGAAGAAAACGAUCAAGAAAAUACAAACAAAAUGAAAGAGGAGAAGAAGGAACCGGAGCCAGAAACAAGAUCUGGACAGGAGGAGGACAGAAGAACUAAUAUCCAAGAAGCAACAACAGAGAGACAGAGGUGGGAUGUGGAGGAGGUGGAGGCUAAACUACACCCAGAAGAUGUGGAGGUGGAAAUGGAGGGAGGAGAAGGGGGGGCACUGGGUGAGGGAAGGGGUGGGGAGGGUUGGGAUGAUGUUCUGGACAUGGUCAACACACUGUGGGAGGAUAACUGGGACAGACUUGAAGUAGGAGGUGAAGGAGGAGACGAUUCAGAAUCCCUGACAGGCUCUCUCCAUUGCUGGCCUCUCCUCCGGCCCCCGGUCGGGUUCGGUGGCUCCCACCCCCCCUCCUCCGCGGCCUCUGAGCUCAGCCUGACGGAGCUAGAGAGGAGGGCUCGGGAGCUGGACUCUGACCUGGAGCACCUGGAUCUGUCUCAGCCCCACAAGGAGUCUCAGGAUUUAUACCAAACCGUGCUGGAGCCACAGAGGGACCGGACCGACACGUACCAAACCCACCCGGGUCCACAGCGAGACAAAACCGCCCUGCACACAGGAGUCAGCAACAGAUCUCAGGUCAGUUUGGAGCUCAAUCCGAUGACCUCAUCAGUUUCCGACUCUGACCGGUCUCCUGUGGAUUGGUCGAUGAAAUCUUCUGGCACUUCCACCGCCGGCACCAGGGAGUCGGAUUCUGAGAGUUCGGACUCUGGCCCGGUGGACGUCUCUGUUCUGGGCUGUGGCUCUGUGGCAGGGGACAGCGACUGGGACUCGGACUUGUCUGACUCUGAUCCCAGUCGCUCCUCCAGAAUCCCUGCCGCUGGAAAGUCAGCCGGCAUAGCGCGGCCAAAGCGACUUCCCGUUGAACCCGACUGGGAUGUGUUCGGAGAAGCUGUAGAACCCGAAGAUCUGAGUGAAGAACAGGAUCAACCUGAAGAGGUUACAGGGGUCAUCACCAGCAUGGCAUUAUCACCGACCGUUUCCAUGGAAACCCAUCCCGUCGCUGCAGCAAUGAAGCCGGCGACGUCGACCGAGCAGCUGUCAAUGACCAAGAAGGUGACGUGGCAGUUUAAACCGGCCCAGAGGUCCGUUUGCACCGGAAGCAGGAAGGAAAAGGAGAAGGAACUGGCAAGAUUCUCAGAGAGCGAAGGCGAUGCCUACAGAGCCUCCCCUUCAUCAUCGUCUUCAUCGUCACCUUCAUCAUCGUCGUCAGGUUGAACUCAGGAAGUGAAGCAGAAAGGUUUCAUUUCUUUACUCGUCUUCAGGGGUUUCCGUCUGAAACCGAUUCAGUUGAACCCAGAUCCAGUUCUCCUACUUCCCAACGUUCCCGCUACACCUCCAGAACCUGACAGUGUUCUGACUCUGAGGAACCAGAUGAUGGAGACGUUCAGGUCCUUUUUGUCUUGUUUUUCUGAAGGUAUUCAGCAGAACCGGGUCAUCCUGGUCACAUGUUUGUGUUUCUAAAUCCUCCAACAUCCUCUAUUAGGAAUGGGCCAGAACCACAGCAGGCUGGUCCAGAACCUGUCUUCUCUGAGCAGAAUCUGGUUUUUGGAAGUCCCUGAAGGCAGCUGAACCCUGACUCUAGACUCAGAACCAGGAGUUUGGACCCACCGUUGGCGUUACUCGUUUUUCUCCUUGUUUCUGGACCGAAGGAGUCCAGAACACUGAUCCGUCUGACCAGAACCCUCUGAGGUUCUACUCCUGCCCAGAUGGAGCCAAGAGGAGUUGGUAUGAAAGGAAGAAUUUCUUUUUUGUUUUAUUUAACUUAUUUUAUAAUUUAUGGAACCGUUUUCUUCCGUUUGUUCUCAGAUGAGAUCCUUUUGGAUCAGAUCAGAGUUUCGAUUGUGAAUCACUCAUUUAUUAUUAUUUAUUUAGAGAUGAUGUCGUGUUCCAGCUGAAGACGGCUGAAACUCUAAAUCUACGGGUGUUUAAAUGUGUGAAUGAAGUUUUUAGUCUGGAUUCUGUUUUAACGUGCCGCUGUUUAACCUCCAUGUUUACAGAACGUAACUCGACGGACAACAGCUGGAAUUCAUCAG
ensembl:lncRNA